rnacentral:rRNA from 1 species
UACGUAGGCAGCAAGCGUUGUUCGGAAUUACUGGGCGUAAAGAGUGUGUAGGCGGUGCUCUAAGUUCGGUGUGAAAUCUCCCGGCUCAACUGGGAGGGUGCGCCGAAAACUGGAGUGCUGGAGCGCGGAAGAGGCGAGUGAAUUCCUGGUGUAGCGGUGAAAUGCGCAGAUAUCAGGAGGAACACCAAUUGCGAAGGCAGCUCGCUGGGACGUUACUGACGCUGAGACGCGAAAGCGUGGGGAGCAAACAGG